rnacentral:rRNA from 1 species
UACGUAGGGUGCGAGCGUUAAUCGGAAUUACUGGGCGUAAAGCGUGCGCAGGCGGCUUUGCAAGACAGAUGUGAAAUCCCCGGGCUUAACCUGGGAACUGCAUUUGUGACUGCAAGGCUGGAGUACGGCAGAGGGGGAUGGGAAUUCCGCGUGUAGCAGUGAAAUGCGUAGAUAUGCGGAGGAACAUCGAUGGCGAAGGCAAUCCCCCUGGGCCUGUACUGACGCUCAUGCACGAAAGCGUGGGGAGCAAACAGG